rnacentral:misc_RNA from 1 species
UGGUUCUGGCAUCGAUGAAGAACGCAGCGAAAUGCGAUACGUAAUGUGAAUUGCAGAAUUCAGUGAAUCAUCGAAUCUUUGAACGCACAUUGCGCCCCCUGGUAUUCCGGGGGGCAUGCCUGUUCGAGCGUCAUUUCACCAAUCAAGCACCGCUUGGUAUUGGGGAUGGUCCCGGGCCCCUCGCGGGGCCCCGGGGCCUCUCCCGAAAUGCAUCGGCGAGGACCUCCGACCCCCGACGUGUUAGGAAACUCACGACGUCGGGAGCACCGGUGGACACUCCGCCGUCGACCUCCCCUCGGGGAACUUCAAAGGUUGACCUCGGAUCAGGUAGGGAUACCCGCUGA